rnacentral:lncRNA from 12 species
AUGUGGAGUGGCUGGAGCCAUCUGAACAGGUUGAGAAGCCACUUCCUACUCUCUAGCCAAUGGGAAUUAGGAGUUACAAUGGGGAUUUUUGAGCCAGAGAAAGCAAGAAAUGGUUCGUGGGGCUGUGAGCUGGCAUCUGACUUAACUGCUAUAAACGUAAGUGGCUCUUCACCCAGACACACUCUCCAAAAAAACACCCCUUUUCUGGUGCAUGGGACAUACGAGGAACCACCUAAACUGUCAUAUAAAUUUAUUUCAGCAUCAACUCAUUCCAGCAUGAAAACCUUGACAAUUUAAAUCUGCUCUCCAGGGAGAAAGAGGAGAGAGAGAGAAACAAUGUUCUUCCCUUUAAUUUGGUGAGAAUAAGCAGCAAGUAUGAUGUGAGGAACCUCCUGUUUUGUGCUGUGCCUUUGAAGAAAGAACAAAACACAAUGUCCAGAGAUAAAUUGUCCUGUUCUGAAGCUACAGUUUUCUUACAGAUUCUUGAGGAAAUGUUGCCACCUUCUGGACAAAAGCGCAAUAAGCAGUCAUCACAACCUUGACAUCCAGCCUGUUUAUAAACGCAUUUACUGGGUUAAAGAAGGAUUUUGCUUUGGCUUUCCUUCUCUUCUGUCAUUAUGCCUGCACAACAUUGAUAUACCAAAAAAAAAAAAAAAAGUCCCUAUAAAAGCACUGAUCAUACGCAUAAUAGAACAGAAAGCCCAUUUCACAAAUUAAGCAGAUUCUUCAAAGGAAUAAUCAAUCACGCUGACAAAGUUUACCAGAUUUUUAAAAUAUCCUUUGCAGACUUCUUAACUCUUACAGGACUUGGAGAAGGGUAGAUAGAUUCUCAUCCAGAUUUUCUCUUUGGUUUUCUUUUAUUCAUUCUUUCUAUCUUCCGAAAAUGGGUUUAAGUCGGCCUAACUACAUGGUCUUGAACUUGAUUUUUUGAAAAUCUAUUUUACUUUUUUAAAGUCAUCAGUAAUAUCUUGAGCAUCAAAAAAAAAAAAAGAAAAAAAAGAAAGAAAGAAAUGCUGGUAGUCAUAUCUUGAUCAGUUGUAAAAUAUUUAUGUCUCCUUUGCCCUUUCAGUGGGUCCCCUUGCAUUAGUCAAUCUCGAAUGUGAAGAAGUCCACAAGUCUAGCACCUUUCUUUCUCAGCUGAAUGAGCACAGGAUAGAGGACCUGCAUCCCU